rnacentral:rRNA from 1 species
AGAGUUUGAUCCUGGCUCAGAACGAACGCUGGCGGCGUGCCUAACACAUGCAAGUCGAACGGAGUUAAUUGAUAGCACUGAGCUAUCAGCAAAUAGCUGUCAGCCGACAGCAAUCAGCAGUCAGGUUUAUUUUUGACUGAAAGCUGAUCGCUGAAAGCUAAGGGCUAAAAAGCUGACAGCUGAGCGCUAUCAGUUAACUUAGUGGCGGACGGGUGAGUAACACGUAGGUAACCAACCCUCAAGCGGGGGACAACAUCGGGAAACCGGUGCUAAUACCGCAUAAGCUCACGGACUGGGAUGUCUGUGAGAAAAGGAGCAAUUCACUUGAGGAUGGGCCUGCGGCCUAUCAGGUAGUUGGCGGGGUAACGGCCCACCAAGCCUAAGACGGGUAGCCGGACUGAGAGGUUGAACGGCCACACUGGAACUGAGACACGGUCCAGACUCCUACGGGAGGCAGCAGUGGGGAAUUUUGCGCAAUGGGGGAAACCCUGACGCAGCGACGCCGCGUGGAGGAUGAAGGUCUUCGGAUUGUAAACUCCUUUUGUCGGGGAAGAUAAUGACGGUACCCGGCGAAUAAGCCACGGCUAACUCUGUGCCAGCAGCCGCGGUAAGACAGAGGUGGCAAGCGUUGUUCGGAAUUACUGGGCUUAAAGGGCGCGUAGGCGGUGGAGUAAGUCUGAGGUGGAAGAUUAGGGCUUAACCCUAAAAUUGCCUUGGAAACUGCAUCACUUGAGUAAGCGAGGGGAUGGC